AGUGAUACCAGCUGAAAACCGAAGUUUACAUUCCAUCUUCAAAAUGAGAUACUGCAAGAAUGCCAAAAAUCCAGCACAGCCUUCUCAAGUAACAAUCCAAUCCUUGAGGGGACAUUGGGAUUUUGAGUUGUGGAAUUUUCCACCCAUUUAUCCUUUCAUUUUCAGUCUUCUUUGCCUCAAAGUGUCAGUUGGCUCCUCUGAGUCACAGCUGUACAAAUCACAGGACUAUUUUUUUAAUUGGCACCAGGCAUAUACAUUAUUCAUCUAUUUGGUUUCAUCUGAAGCAAAUCAAAUAAAGAAGCACUUUUAUUUUCCAAUGAAAUAUUCAAAGCUGCUUUUUCCCCACAAGAGACUAGGCAGAAAACUCCAUCCAUGAUCUAUGUAUGAAGGAGAGGAUUCUGAGGCUCAGAUGUGUCACCUUGGAGGAGAGUUCAGCACAGCUGACUCAGAAGUUAUGCCUUAGAAAUGUGAAGACCUGCCUGAGGAGGAAGACUUAUGUAACAUUAGAAGGAAAAAAAAAAAGAAAACCUGAUCCUAAAGUCAUGUCUAUGCUGAUUCACAUCUCUGCACAGCCAGCAAAGAGAUCUUGUUAUAACAGAGAUGAGAUCCCCAUCACUUCUCUGCUUAAAACUCUGUAAGGCAUUCCUCUGAACCAUGGUCCAUAUGACUUGGGAUUCCUCCUCCUUGGACAUGCUAGACUCAUUAAGCCACAGGACCUUUGCAGUUACUGUUCACUCUCCCUGAACUGCUAUUCCCCAGAUUACUUAAGAUAAUCUCAGUCAUUUAUUUCUGCACCAUCAUGCCUGCAUGCCUCUGUCUCCAAGGUGAGAUCUCUGUUGACUGAUUAACUGGCUCUGGAAAAGGAAAGAUUUCAAUCUUGGACUCUGAGUUUUCUGUAACUCAGUGAGUCACUAUCUUUACUAGGAAUAAGAAUAUCAGAUAUGAAUGAAAGCUGCAAAGAAGCCAGAAAGAUAGAGCCCAGAGUCUCCCAAGAUUGUCUCUCUCAUUGCAUACACAAAGGAGACUCUGAAAUGGGACACUGGAUUUACAAAAAUAAGAAGAAAUAAUAGCUUCUUCCAUAAUAGAAAUUAGGCUAAGAAGAGAAACUGAAGGCAUAUGAUGCUGUAAUUGAACAGAAACAAUAAUAAUAAAGACAGUUUGUAAUGUGGAACACUUGGAAAGAAAUUAAUAAAUGAUGGA
rnacentral:lncRNA from 1 species